ACUCCUACGGGAGGCAGCAGUAGGGAAUCUUCCACAAUGGGCGCAAGCCUGAUGGAGCAACACCGCGUGAGUGAAGAAGGGUUUCGGCUCGUAAAGCUCUGUUGUUAAAGAAGAACACGUAUGAGAGUAACUGUUCAUACGUUGACGGUAUUUAACCAGAAAGUCACGGCUAACUACGUGCCAGCAGCCGCGGUAAUACGUAGGUGGCAAGCGUUAUCCGGAUUUAUUGGGCGUAAAGAGAGUGCAGGCGGUUUUCUAAGUCUGAUGUGAAAGCCUUCGGCUUAACCGGAGAAGUGCAUCGGAAACUGGAUAACUUGAGUGCAGAAGAGGGUAGUGGAACUCCAUGUGUAGCGGUGGAAUGCGUAGAUAUACGGAAGAACACCAGUGGCGAAGGCGGCUACCUGGUCUGCAACUGACGCUGAGACUCGAAAGCAUGGGUAGCGAACAGGAUUAGAUACCCUGGUAGGAUAGCG
rnacentral:rRNA from 1 species